CGUUCGUAGUUGAAUUUGUGCUUCAUACGGGUAGUAAAACUAUAAUUGUGGAUUUUACAUUACCUUAUGUAUGCAAGCGUAUUACCGGUGGAGUUCUAAUAUAUCAAUUGUGCUUUUGUAUGAUUAUGUAUACCUCCUACUUAAACCUGCUUCAGUGCUCUUCAUCGAGUGUUGUUGUGGGCCGGUACAAUUACUUUGAACAAAUUAGAGUGCUUAAAGCAGGCUCCAAAUGCCUGAAUAUUUUGUGCAUGGAAUAAUGAAAUAAGACCUCUGAUCUACUUUCAUUGGUUUUUAGAUCAAGAGGUAAUGAUUAAUAGAAGCAGUUUGGGGGCAUUAGUAUUACGACGCGAGAGGU
rnacentral:rRNA from 1 species